rnacentral:lncRNA from 1 species
AUUGAACCCACGUCCUCAUGGAUACUAGUUGGGUUUGUUACCACUGAGCCAUGACGGGCCCACUGAGCCACGACAGGAACUCCGGAAAACCUUAUAUAAUAUUUUUUGAAAUAAAGUUGAAUGUGGGGAGUUCCUAUUGUGGUGCAUUGGAAAUGAAUCCAACUAGUAUCCAUGAGGAUGUGGGUUCGAUCCCCGGCCUGGCUCAGUGGGUUAGGGAUCUGACGUUGUCAUGAGCUGGGGUGUAGGUUAUAGAUGAGGCUCCAAUCCCAUGCUGCUGUGGCUGCGGUGUAGGCCCGCAGCUGUAGCUCUGAUUUGACCCCUAGCCUGGGAACUUCCAUAUGCUGCUGGUGUGGCCCUAAAAAAAAAAAAAAGUGAUGCAUGUCACAUAAUACAAGCAGUAUAGAAGGGCCUAAGGUGAACAGCUCAACUCGCCUUCAAUCUCCCCAUCCCAAUGCCCCCAAUCCCACCCUCCUAAGACCCCCCCAUUCAUUUCUUAUGUAUCUUAAAUACAUUCUGUGCUCAUGCAAGGGAACAUGCAGGCAAUAGGUUCUUUUUCUCUCCAAAUCAGAACAUACUGUACAUCUCAUCUGGCUUUUCCCCUUAGCAUUUUGAAGAUCCUUUUAUUUAGCAUAAAUAUACUCUUGUUUGCUUUUUAGGGCCACACCCGAGGCAUAUGGAGGUUCCAGGCUAGGGGUCGAAUCAGAGCUAUAGCUGCCAGCCUACACCACAGUCACAGCAACGUCAGAGCUGCCUCUGCAACCUACACCACAGCUCACAAUGCGCCACAACGGGAACUCCAAACACAAAUACACUUUUUAAUGGCUGAAUGAUACUCCAUGAUGUGAAAGUACCAUGACAUAUUUACCAAGCCCUCAGAGUUGGACAUUCAGGAUUCCUGUCCAUUUAAGGCCCUUCAGGCUGGCAGGUUGGAGAUUCAACAGUUGUCCCUGAUGUUGUGCUCUUGUGUGUUUCUUCCUUGCUGGAAUCCUGGGCCUCCAAAGUCAGAGCUUGUGGGAGCUGGACGCAGCCAGGCACAUCCGGCCUCAGGAUGGGAGGAGCAGUGGGAGACUUGUCGGCACCCUGGGUUGACGUCUCCUUGGGGCACAGGAAGCAGAGAAGGAAUCUCCUCAUCUAUAAAACAAUGGAUUCAACAGGAAGGAUGCUCAGGACCCUCUGGUUCUGAACCGUGAUGAUCACGAUACUGAGGACAAUGAAGACGAUGCUAACAAACCCCAAAUGCAUUCAGCUGCAUUGAACGGGAGACGAAGAGACCGAAAAAUAUCUCCCUGAAAUGUCUGCAGGCAGGCCGCCUCUGUCACUUAUUUGCACAUUCAGAAGCGCUCCCCUUCCCUGCCCCACGUUUAAUCCUGAAAACGUAACUGAAUAAAUGUAAGGCAAAUCACA